rnacentral:rRNA from 1 species
CGAUUGUAGUCAUAUGCUUGUCUCAAGAUUAAGCCAUGCAUGUCUAAGCACAUGCCUUAAUACGGUGAAGCCGCGAAUAGCUCAUUACAACAGCCAUCGUUUACUAGAAUAUCGUUUUCCUACUUGGAUAACUGUGGCAAUUCUAGAGCUAAUACAUGCAUCAAAGCUCUGACCGCAAGGAAAGAGCGCAUUUAUUAGAAUAAAAACCAAUCGGGUUUCGGCCCGUUACUUGGUGAAUCUGAAUAACUUUGCCAAUCGCACAGUCCUAGUACUGGCGAUGUAUCUUUCAAGUGUCUGCCUUAUCAACUUUCGAUGGUAGGUUAUACGCCUACCAUGGUAGUAACGGGUAACGGAGAAUAAGGGUUCGACUCCGGAGAGGGAGCCUGAGAAACGGCUACCACAUCCAAGGAAGGCAGCAGGCGCGCAAAUUACCCACUUCCAGAACGGAGAGGUAGUGACGAAAAAUAACGAGACAGUCCUCUUCGAGGUCUGUCAUCGGAAUGGGUACAAUUUAAAUCCUUUAACGAGGAUCUAUUGGAGGGCAAGUCUGGUA